CGUGUAGGCGGUUUGGCAAGUCAGAUGUGAAAGCCCCGGGCUUAACCUGGGAAGUGCAUUUGAAACUGCCAUACUUGAGUAUGGGAGAGGAGAGUGGAAUUCCCAGUGUAGAGGUGAAAUUCGUAGAUAUUGGGAGGAACACCCGUGGCGAAGGCGACUCUCUGGACCAAUACUGACGCUGAGACGCGAAAGCGUGGGGAGCAAACA
rnacentral:rRNA from 1 species